GAUGAACGCUGGCGGCGUGCCUAAUACAUGCAAGACGAGCGAACAGACGAGGAGCUUGCUCCUCUGACGUUAGCGGCGGACGGGUGAGUAACACGUGGAUAACCUACCUAUAAGACUGGGAUAACUUCGGGAAACCGGAGCUAAUACCGGAUAAUAUAUUGAACCGCAUGGUUCAAUAGUGAAAGACGGUUUUGCUGUCACUUAUAGAUGGAUCCGCGCCGCAUUAGCUAGUUGGUAAGGUAACGGCUUACCAAGGCAACGAUGCGUAGCCGACCUGAGAGGGGGAUCGGCCACACUGGAACUGAGACAGGGUCCAGACUCCUACGGGAGGCAGCAGUAGGGAAUCUUCCGCAAUGGGCGAAAGCUUGACGGAGCAACGCCGCGUGAGUGAUGAAGGUCUUCGGAUCGUAAAACUCUGUUAUUAGGGAAGAACAAAUGUGUAAGUAACUAUGCACGUCUUGACGGUACCUAAUCAGAAAGCCACGGCUAACUACGUG
rnacentral:rRNA from 1 species